rnacentral:rRNA from 1 species
CACGUAGGGUGCGAGCGUUGUCCGGAAUUAUUGGGCGUAAAGAGCUCGUAGGCGGUGUGUCGCGUCGGCCGUGAAAACCUGCAGCUUAACUGUGGGCUUGCGGUCGAUACGGGCAUCACUGGAGUUCGGCAGGGGAGACUGGAAUUCCUGGUGUAGCGGUGAAAUGCGCAGAUAUCAGGAGGAACACCGGUGGCGAAGGCGGAUCUCUGGGCCAUUACUGACGCUGAGGAGCGAAAGCGUGGGGAGCAAACAGG